rnacentral:tRNA from 1 species
GGACCCGUAGCUCAAAAGUAGAGCGGUGAUGAUUGCAGGUGCAAGUCCUGCCGGGUCCACCA